UAAAACUAGCCUUCCAAGCUAAC
rnacentral:tRNA from 1 species